GGGCAUCGGAACGGGUAAAUCAGUUGGAAAAAUCGCGGGACGAACCACCCAAGAGGCGAGAAACCCUAGCCCUAGAUAUCUCCAGUCGAGAAACAUGGCGAGAGCAACGAGUAGCGGCACCACCACAACCACCCUAACCCUAAAUCAUCACCAUUCCUCUCCAUUCCCUUCCUCCUCCUCUUCCCAUCACCAGCGGACUCCGCAAGCCCUAACUUUGCGACGUGGAAGGAAGGCACCGUCGACAACGAGUUCCUCCAGAGGAAGAGCCCCAAGAUAUGCUGUAUCUUUCACAAGGACAAGCGGUUUGACGAGGACGACAGCGAUGACGAUGAUGAUAAAGAUUGCAAUGGUUGUUCCGAGGAGAAUCACGGCCCCCCGUGAGUGGACGGUGGGUUUAUCCCUUGAUUAGUUGCACCUAAGCUCGCCCGGGCAUUGAGUUAUGAAAAAAGGGAAGGAAGAAUCACGAUCCCCGGUGGUGGAGGGGGCUUUGCCCCCAACUUUAAUUGAGUUCCGCUAGUAGAAAGUGGGAUCGGUCCUGCUUCAGUCCACGUGCGCUUAAGCUCGUACAGAUACCUGAUUAUGAAAGAGAAGAAGAGGAAGAAGAAGAAGAAUCAUUGCGGCCACGUUUAUCGUGUUGCUCAUUGUUCUCACGGAAACAGAGGAAAUUGAUGUAGAAACAUAGAAUUUAGGAAGGAAUGUGUGUUUGAAUGUGUUUCGUAGAAGGAUAAAGCUUGGGAAUUUGGGGGUGAAGUUUUUGUCAGGGGACUUUUUGCAUGUGGAGAAACAUGGGAGUGUUGAGUGAAUUGGUUUGUGAAUUUGCGUAUUAACUAUUAAGCAUGUUCUAGUUUUCAUUUUUAUUUGGUUUCCAUCACCAUGCGAUAAGGUUCCUUCCAUUUAGAUUUUCAAAUUCUUUUAGAGAAUUGAGUCUUGUUUGUAUGAAUUGGCGAAUUGAGUUGACAAUUUCUACACUAAGACUAUCUCUGUGUCAAUCAGUAUAUUGUUCUGACGGAAAUGGAUGUAGAAACAUGGAAGUGGGAUGAACCUGUGUAUGAAUGUGUUCCGUGGAAAGGUAAAGAUUAGGACUUCAGGGGUUAAGUUUUUGUCAUGAUUCUUUUGCAUUUGGAGAAAUUUAGGAGAUUUGAGUGAAUGCUGUGAAUUGAUUUGAGAAUCUUCAUAUUGAGUUUUUUUUUUUUUUAUUGGUUCCAUUCACCAUGCUAUAAGGCUCUUUCCAUUUAGUUUUCAUCCUGAAGAGGAUGCUUGCUGUUCUAGCAGUGAUGGACGAGAAUGCUUAUAUACAUGUGCAAAUGAAAUACCUGGAUUCCGGGGUGAAUAGUUUUUGUCAAUGUUCUUCUUUUUAAUCCUUGAACCUCGUUGUCAUUGAGAAAUUCUUUGGGAGAAUUUACUAUUGUUUGUAUGAAUUGGUGAAUUCAGCUGUGGAUUUCUAGUUGAAGACUGUUUAUGUGUCAAUGACUCGUCACUUUAUGGUGAGAUCCCAUUCAGCUUCUACUUACUGCUUAGAUUCAGAACUCUUGGCCAUUGUAAGUGUGUAUAUCGGUUUUGUUGGUUUAUAUUAGUGAAAAAGGGAUGUUAAAGAUUGAAUGCGCUUGUUAUUGACCAUUAAGUUCAUGACUCAUUGAGACAAAACUUGGAUUGGUAAGCUUCAUAUAUGGAAUGAUGGGUCAAUGUGUGCAAGAAGUUAGAUAUCUGUUUUGGUCCUCGGAGAACUAUGAGCUGAUCAUUUAUGUAAGUUAUGUUGUCACGCUUCGCAACUACUCUACGAGAAAUUGCAACACUCUCAAUGAGAGCAUUUACAUGCCAAUAAAUCCUCUACUUCUGUGGCAGUUGGGUGCUUUGGCAAGAUGAUGGUUUAGAAAAUGACGCGUUUAGAAAUGUCAUCUAGAAACAUCAUCUAAUCUUGCACAUUCUUUACAUCAUCUUUGCGGUUCUAAAUGACAUUUAAAGUUGUAGUAAUCGGUCUUAUAUUAUCAAGGUGCUUUCCUAUUCUGAAUAGGCAAAGGUUUCUUGGCUUUCAGUUGAGAUUUUCUUAUUUUUGCUUUAUUGCCACCAGGCCUCAAGCUUUGCAUAAUUCCUUUGCAAUUGGGUGGGGGUCAUGAGAACAUGCAUUCAACGACCCCCUCAUGAAAUUAUUCCAGAAAUUUGCUUUGCCUUUCAUGUCUCAGACGCGAUUGUGCUUGAGUUUAAUUAUUUGUGGGAAGUCCAGGUGCCUAAUGUGAGCAUGCAAGUUGGUUGCCUGAAGAAAUUGCGAGAGGCCAUGGGGGGUGCCAUGGCCAGUUGUCACUGUAUUUUACACCCAGAGAAGGUACUAAUGUCCCUAUGAAAGUGAUCUCUUGUUGCACGAUGCAAUUAAUGCUCUAGGGAAUCAUUUAUGCGGAACGUGAGAUACAUAUUGUCAAUUGAGCGGGACUAUAAUUUUCUGCUGUAGAGAUAGGGGGAAAAAAUCAGUAGAGGAGGAAUCCAGAGAGGGUGAUAAAUGUUCUUAUCUCUGCUUGCCAGGAGGAAAAUAUGAAGACUCUCCAAGAGGUCAGAGAUAGGUGUCAUCGGAAAGCAAGGACGAGCUACAUGCGGGGAUGCUCCCUUGAACUCUUUCUUCUUCAAUCACUUGGUUUCCGCGGGAGGGAUUUCUUGAGUGUUCGGCCACUAUGAAGAGGGACAGGGUUUGAUAUGCAAGUUGCAGAAGUGGUGCUAUUUUCCCUCCAGAAUGAUUGUGCCCUCCUAGGCCCUACUGACUCCUUUUGAAUAGUUAGCUAAUACUUGAAACUUUAGAUCCAACCAGAAAGCUUAACCUAUUUGGUGGAUAGGUCCCAAUGUUAUAGUAAGUGAUCACUCAUUUCAUACUCAACCACUGUGUUACUUAUAUUUCUUACAUACUCUAUAUCCAACAGCCUUGCGGUUAGAGGAAUGGACA